GAUAGUGUAGCUCAAUGGUAGAGCGCUUGCCUAGCAUGUGCCAAGCCCUGGGUUCCAUCCCCAGCACUGCA
rnacentral:tRNA from 1 species